rnacentral:rRNA from 1 species
GACGAACGCUGGCGGCGUGCUUAACACAUGCAAGUCGAACGGAAAGGCCCUGCUUUUGUGGGGUGCUCGAGUGGCGAACGGGUGAGUAACACGUGAGUAACCUGCCCUUGACUUUGGGAUAACUUCAGGAAACUGGGGCUAAUACCGGAUAGGAGCUCCUGCUGCAUGGUGGGGGUUGGAAAGUUUCGGCGGUUGGGGAUGGACUCGCGGCUUAUCAGCUUGUUGGUGGGGUAGUGGCUUACCAAGGCUUUGACGGGUAGCCGGCCUGAGAGGGUGACCGGCCACAUGGGGACUGAGAUACGGCCCAGACUCCUACGGGAGGCAGCAGUGGGGAAUAUUGCACAGUGGGCGGACGCCUGAUGCAGCAACGCCGCGUGCGGGAUGACGGCCUUCGGGUUGUAAACCGCUUUCGCCUGUGACGAAGCGUGAGUGACGGUAAUGGGUAAAGAAGCACCGGCUAACUACGUG